rnacentral:rRNA from 1 species
AUGAACGCUGGCGGCGUGCCUAAUACAUGCCAGUCGAGCGCACGGACGAGAAGCUUGCUUCUCUGAUGUUAGCGGCGGACGGGUAAGUAACACGUGGAUAACCUACCUAUAAGACUGGGAUAACUUCGGGAAACCGGAGCUAAUACCGGAUAAUAUUUUGAACCGCAUGGUUCAAAAGUGAAAGACGGUCUUGCUGUCACUUAUAGAUGGAUCCGCGCUGCAUUAGCUAGUUGGUAAGGUAACGGCUUACCAAGGCAACGAUGCAUAGCCGACCUGAGAGGGUGAUCGGCCACACUGGAACUGAGACACGGUCCAGACUCCUACGGGAGGCAGCAGUAGGGAAUCUUCCGCAAUGGGCGAAAGCCUGACGGGGCAACGCCGCGUGAGUGAUGAAGGUCUUCGGAUCGUAAAACUCUGUUAUUAGGGAAGAACAUAUGUGUAAGUAACUGUGCACAUCUUGACGGUACCUAAUCAGAAAGCCACGGCUAACUACGUG